UCAUUGCAAUUGAGUAAAAGUAACAUUCUGUUUUGAAUGUUGCAUUACCCUCUUUUUAUUUUUAUAUGCACAAGUUUAAAUGAAUGUAACAAAACCCCUUUAAUUUGAUAACUUUUAACAAUGGAUCUCUAGGCUCUCACAUCGAUGAAGAACACAGUGAAAUGUGAUAAGUAAUGUGAAUUGCAGAAUUCAGUGAAUCAUUGAAUCUUUGAAUGCACCUUGCGCCUUUUGGUAUUCCAAAAGGCACACCUGUUUGAGUGUCAUGAAAUCCUACUCACAUAAAUAAUUUGUUUGAACAAAUUAUUCCUUGUGGAUGUUGAGUGUUGCUGUGAUUAGCUCGCUCUAAAUAUAUAAGUCACUUUUUCAAAAAAAAAAAAAAAAAAAAAAAAGUUGGACUGACUUGGUGUGUAAUAAUUUUAUUUCAUCACAUUAAGGAAGACAUUUUCUUUUUGAAAGAGGGGACUCCC
rnacentral:misc_RNA from 1 species